GCGGAUAUGGCGUAAUUGGUAGCCGCGUCAGACUUAGGAUCUGGUUCCGAGAGGAGUGGGGGUUCGAGUCCCCCUAUCCGCA
rnacentral:tRNA from 1 species